UACGGGGGGGGCAAGCGUUGUCCGGAAUUAUUGGGCGUAAAGGGCUCGUAGGCGGUCUGUCACGUCAGGAGUGAAAACUCGGGGCUCAACCCCGAGCCUGCUUCUGAUACGGGCAGACUGGAGGUAUGCAGGGGAGAACGGAAUUCCUGGUGUAGCGGUGAAAUGCGCAGAUAUCAGGAGGAACACCGGUGGCGAAGGCGGUUCUCUGGGCAUUACCUGACGCUGAGGAGCGAAAGUGUGGGGAGCGAACAGG
rnacentral:rRNA from 1 species